AGCCCUGAAGAAAAUUUGAUGAAGAAAUGCUGUAAUUUUAUAAAACUGAAUUCUAAUCGACGAGACGAGUAAACGUGUGACAGAUAUCGUAGAAUAGAAAAAAAAGUGUGUAAUAGGCAAAAAAAGAAAUGUUUAAUAUAAAUUUUACUUAGAAUUCAUACACGCAAAGGAAGCUGUCGGAACAGAUUUAAUUCCCGUUCAUUAGAUUCGUCGCCUUACUGAAUACGAUAUUCUCGAGUUCGCGGUUCAAGGGAAAGCAAAGAAUUCUGGUGGGGUCGAGAGCAACGUUCAAGAUGAAAUCCUCGGCCCUUGUUAAAUCGUCUCGGUCGGGGUCGAACAAUGCGUUCGCCAGCAUCCUCGUUUCUCGGUGAUUGCACAUAAAGCUGCCAUUAUUAGAACUUCAGUGAGCGGUAAGCGCUGGUGCUUUUUCCAGUCUCGCGUUCGCGCUUACUCUUGCGCACAAUUCGCCGCUGCAAUCGCGUGCGUUUCCAGCCGCGUUCAUCCGUCCAUGUGGCUGCCAGUCGUAGCACGAAGCUCGUUCGUCGCGUUUACUCCACUUUUUUCAUCGAAAAAUUUUAUCCGGAAUAUCACGUUCGACUCGACGACCGAUUAAUUAUCGUAUUUUACUUUCACCGAUGGUGCAUCAUUUUCAUGGGAAACGUUUAAAUUUCCACGUGGUGCCACGUGAUGGAAAAAUUGGCCACCGGUUGCUGCACGACGCUCCUUCGUCGCGUUUAUUCCACCUCUUCGGCGAAACGUUCCAUCCGGAACGUCGCGAUCGACACGAGAUCGAAAUUAAUUAUAUUCUACUUUCUCCAAUGGUGGAUCGUUCUUGCGCGAAAGAAAAAUUUUAAAUUCCUACGGCACGUGGUGAAUAAAUUGGCCACCAGUUGCUGCACGACGCUCCUUCGUCGCGUCUACUCCACUUUUUCGUCGAAACCUUCUGUCCGGGGGUAUCGCGAUCGACCCGAGAUCCGUUCGAUCGUCUUAUCCUUCCGUCCUUUUCGCGAAAGUCGUUCGAAUUUCUGUGACGCGCGCGUGGAAAAUACUGGCGCGAAUCUUCGAGUUAGUGAGAAUCUUUGGCUCGAAUUUGAUGAUUCGUUCGCGUGGGAAUCGCACGGCGAGCCGUGCGAUUGUCGCGAUCGCUCUUAUCGCUCGCUCCACUUACGUUCCGCUUCGUUCUAUCGACUACUAGUUUGCUGCAUUCCCGGUUACUUCACUGGUGGUGAAUCGUUAAUCGACGCGAGUUACCGCCGACGAGUUUGUUACGAUACGCAAGUACAGUGGAAAAAGGAGUUUAGCGAAACAGUUUCGUAAAGCUAAACGAUUGGACGAAUCGAAAGGAAUUGGAAGUCGUUCUAAGAAUUCUGUUCGAAGACAGCUUUGAGAAGGCGAACGGCGAUUGAAAAAAGAAGAAA